rnacentral:tRNA from 1 species
AGCCUGCUUAGCUCACAGGUUAGAGCAUCGCAUUUGUA